rnacentral:rRNA from 1 species
AGCGAACGCUGGCGGCGUACUUAACACAUGCAAGUCGAACGAGGAUCACCGGUGUAGCAAUACAUUGUUGAUCCUAGUGGCGCACGGGUGAGUAACACGUGGGUGACCUGCCCUUGAGCU